rnacentral:rRNA from 1 species
CAAUAGCGUAUAUUAAAGUUGUUGCAGUUAAAAAGCUCGUAGUUGGAUUUGUGGCUGUCACGGGCGGCCUAUCACUUAGUGUUAGUGCUUGCCUGUUUCGCCAUCCUUGGGUGGAGCCCGUGUGGCAUUAGGUUGUCGUGCGGGGGAUGCCCAUCGUUUACUGUGAGAAAAUUAGAGUGUUCAAAGCAGGCUUAUGCCAUUGAAUAUGUUAGCAUGGAAUAAUAAGAUAGGACCUCGGUACUAUUUUGUUGGUUUGCGCACCGAGGUAAUGAUUAAUAGGGACAGUUGGGGGUAUUCGUAUUUCAUUGUCAGAGGUGAAAUUCUUGGAUUUCUGAAAGACGAACUACUGCGAAAGCAUUUACCAAGGAUGUUUUCAUUAA